AAAAACGGAGACUCUGGAAGAUUAAAGUGCUCUCCUCCAGCUCAUACAGUGGUUAUUUAUAUGAGCCAGGAUUUCAACCCUUGUCUACCUAAUUCAAAGCCUGUACUCACAUCCAGUCAGCUACAAUGUCUCACCCGCGUCUUCUCUCUCAUGGAAGCCUGAUUGCUUUUAGGCUAGAAGCAUUGAUUGGCUAGCAGUCUAUAUUCUCUCUGAGACAUGGGUGUCCCUACAGAGAAGUAACAGCCUCCUGCUCCAGCAGCGCCCAUGGCUGCCUUCCAGCUGGGCCUGGAUCCUCUGCUAUCGUGGACCCCACCCUGCACGUUCCUGUCUGCAUCUGGAGGCCCCGCAGCCUCUGGCUGUUGGCCUACUAGAGCAAGGCAGACUUUCUCAGCCCAGCAAAGGCGUUGGCUCUGGAGACAAGAAGUUAGAGAGAACUCAAGAAGCCAAUGGGAAGAGGCGAUCAGGACAUGAACACACACAGAGGGAAGCCAGUGUCAAAACACAGGUAAGAGAAGACAGCCAUCGACAAGCCAAGGAGAGAAGCUUCAGAAGAAACCAAUGCUGCUGACACCUUGGUCUUAGGCUUCUGGCCUCCAGAACCGUGAGGAAUGUAAUUUCGGGUUCUUGACGCCACAGUCUGUGGUAUUUGCUCCAGCAGUCCUCCCAAACAUGCAUCCAGAAAAAACUGUGAGACUAGGCUGAGUCGGUGUCCCCCUCCACCAGCACAUGCUUUGUGGGGAAAUUCGCUCAGUCUAGUGUUCUCUGGGUUAAAUUAAUAAUAAAGCUAAGAGUUUGGCCUCCA